CCACUGUUGCGGACACGCAUUAAAUUUGGUCCUUGUUCAAGCUGUCUCGUCAACUAAAGAGUGUCGUAUAUUUUUUAAAACCGUCACUGGUCUUUCAUCCUUUUUUCACGCCUCGUCCAAGAGAACAUACCUGUUGGACACAGUUGUCGGCAGACGCAUUCCCACUGGAACAGCUGUUCGAUGGCACUAUCAGAGCAGGUUAAUCCAUGCUGUACUGGAGACAAGAGCAAAGCUGCUCGAAGUUUUCGAAUACAUCAUCGAAAAUGAUGACGAGUUUGACGGUACGACGUUAAACGAAGCGAGGGGCUACCGACAAGUUCUUGCAGAUUUCCAGUUUGUGUUCUGCCUUAAAAUAUUUUCAGAAAUAUUUGGUCUUACGGAUGUUUUGUAUAAUAUCAUUCAGAGUAAGCAGUUCGAUAUUGUCUUCUGUGUCACGAAAGUUCGCGAGACGAAAGAUAAGAUUCAAGAACAACGAACAAAAUUCGUAGAUUAUUGGAAUUUUACGUCAAGUAUCGUCAAAGUAGCACUGAAACGCGGGCAAAGUGAAGAGGAUGUAAAGGCGUCCUUCCGUCAAAUGUUUUUCUGUGUAGUCGAUACCAUUGUCGUGCAGAUUGACUCUAGAUUCGAAAGUCUUAACAGCAGAGCAUUCGUUUCUUUGUUGGAUCAUUCAAAGCACGAAUUGUACAGCCGGAAUUUUCCCGAACGAGAGCUGCAAUCGUUGCAAGAUUCAUAUGGAACAUUCUUAAAUCUUCAAGCACUAAAAGUGAACUAAUCGUUGUAUACGCAUCUGCCGAGCUCAAAUCGAAACCUGUUUUUGAUAUGAUAUCAAAAAUAAUCGAACUUGACUUGAAAGCCUGUUUUCCAGAGGUGUACCGAUUGUGUCAGCUCAUUCUUACUAUGCCAAGUACGUCCUCCUCUGCAGAAAGAUCAUUUUCGGCUCUCAAGCGUAUCAAAACGUAUCUUCGCAGUACACAAGGGCAAGAGCGACUUUCUGCAUUGGCUACAAUUUCAAUCGAGAAGGAGAUGUUGAGAUUUGCUAUGAUAAACAGUUACAAUAACUAAUCGUGUAUAUAUGUAUGAUGGCUGGAAUAACUUCACAGAAACAACUUCUGAUAACGGUUGCCUUCCAUAAACAAACAAAAUUCGUUUAUAUUUAUACCAAACUAACUAAAUAUGUAGUUCUCUUUCUUAUGAAUAUUAAGCUAUUGUUUGCUUUGAAGUAGAAUAACCGUAGUGCUUAGCAAAAAAAUCCAACAAAGGCUGUUUUCGGUGCAAACAAGAGGAAAAACAUGUUUUUCAAUGCAUGACCGACUUAUGUGCCUUUUCACACAUUACUUAUACUUGAACGUUCAUUAAGUAGUCUGACUUGAGCAUUUCUCUUUGUCGUA